rnacentral:rRNA from 1 species
GUGUUGGCUGAUGUUUCAUUCAAAUUUCUUGCCCUAUCAACUUUCUGAUGGUAGGAUAGAUGUGCCUACCAUGGUUUUAACUGGGUAACGGGGAAUUAGGGUUCUGAUUCCUGGAGAGGGAGCCUGAGAAACUGGCUACCACAUCCAAUGGAAUGGCAUGCAUGGCUGCGCAAAUUACCCAAUCCCUGAUACUGGGGAGGUAGUGACAAUAAAUAACAAUACAUGUGGCUUUCUAGUCUUGUAAUUUGGAAUGAGUACAAUUUAAAUCCCUUAACUGAUGGAACAAUUGGAUGGGCAAGUCUGGUGCCAGCAGGCCUGCGGUAAUUCCAUGCUCCAAUAGCGUAUAUUAAAGUUUGUUUGCAGUUAAAAAUGCUCGUAGUUUGAAUUUUAGGCCUGGUUUGGACGGUCUGCCCUUGGUUUUGUACUUGUCCUGACUGGGUCUUACCUUCUGGUGAGCUUGUCGUGUUGUUUACUCAGUUGCGGGCGGGGGAACCAGGGACUUUUACUUUGAAAAAAUUUAGAGUGUAAAUGCAGGCAUUCGUUGAUACCUUAGCAUGGAAUAAUAGAAUAGGGACUUUUGGGUCUAAUUUGGUGGGUUCCUAGGACCGGACGUAAUUGGUUUAAUAGGGAUAGGUUGGGGGCAUUAG